GCCCACCAACCAUGAUUUCUGUUAAUAAUUUAUAUAAAAUAUUUUGAUGAAUAUUUAUAUAAUAUUAACAUAAUUCAUAUUACUAUUUUUUUUUUUAGUAUAUGAAAUUUUACUUUGAGAAAAUUAGAGUGCUUAAAGCAGGCUUAUGCCUUGAAUACUCCAGCAUGGAAUAAUAUUAAAGAUUUUUAUCUUUUUUAUUGGUUCUAAAAAAAAAAUAAUGAUUAAAGGGGACAGGGGGGGGCUUUUUUUUUUAACCGCCAGAGGGAAAAUUCUAAAUUUUGUAAAAAACAAACUAAGGCAAAACCUUUUGCCAAGGAUUUUUUCAUUAACCAAAAACAAAAGUGGGGGGAUCAAAAACAAUAAAAUCCCGCCGUAUUCUUAACCAAAAACUCCCCCAACAAAAAGUGGGAGGUUGUU
rnacentral:rRNA from 1 species